AACCACACUAUUAAUAAAUGGAUUCACGCGUGAGAUGAUGUGGUUAUUUCAUCUAGGACGAGGACAUGGCACCCUAUUACCAGCCAUCACACGAAAUUAAUAUAAUGCCACGUCCUCAUCCUAGAUAGAACAACCACGUCAUCUCACAUAAAUCCAUUCAUCGAUAGUGUAGUU
rfam:Oryza glaberrima chromosome 11 Oglab11_0045_5, whole genome shotgun sequence.